rnacentral:tRNA from 1 species
GCCCACGUAGCUCAGUCGGUAGAGCAGCGGUUUCGUAAAUCGCAGGCCGUCCGUUCAAUCCGGACCGUGGGCU